GCGCGCGCGCGCCGCCCUAGGCACCCGGGAGCUCAGGCUGUCGUCGGCUCCCAGCGUCCGCCCGCAGUGGGGCGGAGGGAGCGCCACCUACGUCACUGGCGCCACCGCUGGGUCUCGCCGCUCAUUGGCUGCUCCGAGGGAACAGACUCCAAGCCCCUCGCCCCCUCCUGACUGCGCGCCCCCGGAAACCUGAAACCGGUCAAGUUUUGCUCUUUUACCUCUGCUGCUGGACUCAGCUCUGCAGCUCUGCUUGCACCUGUAACGCAGGAGGAGCCUGAAUCCCCACCAACUUCUCCGGAGAGAAGAUCUUGGCAGAACCUAGAAGACAAAGGAGACAUUUCAGUUCCUAAGUGCCUGUGUACACAAGGAAACUUGAAGAAAUGAACAUGUGUAUGAACCCCGUGACUUUAUGCAAACACUUUCCUCCUCUCUGAGAUCUCGUUGUCUUGUCGGGAAGAGAGUCCGGAGGACUGCUGCUUGCUGACGACCCACCACAAGCUCAGCACUUUAUAGAUAUCCUUUCUUCCACUCUUUAUAUGAUUUUACAACUAAGGCAUGCAGAUACUGUUACCCUACCUUUUUUCAGGUUAAGAAAAUCCAGUCACAAAGAUAAACAAAACAAAACAGAACAACAACAAAAGAGAGUCUGUGCCUGUUGUAGUUGAAGAACAUAAUUGUUAUACACACCCAAAGUCAUAACAAUGUUAUUCACAAUAGGAAAAAGGUGGGAACAGCUACGUGUCCAUUAAGAGGGGAGUGGUUAAACAGGCUAUGCCGUAUAUAAUUGGAUUAUUUUAGCUUUAAAAGGAGGGACAUUCCAACACUCAUGGACCUUAGUAUGUUAAGUGGUAUGAGCCAGUCAAGCAAAGCACAAAUCUUGGAUGAUUCCCCAUACAUAAGAUAAGAAUGUUAGUCCAAGUCACAGAGUGGUGGCUGUCAAGGGCAGAGGAAAAAAGAGAUGGGUCACUACUUAAUAGGUGUAGAGUUUCAGUUUUGCAGGAUAAAAUGUUGUGGGGAUCAGUUACAUAGCAAUGCAGCAGUAUUUAUAGCUAUUGAGUUUUACACUAAACAUGGUUAAGAUGGUAAAGCUUAUGUGUAUUUUAUUGUAACUAAAGAAUAAAUACAUACAGAUGUCAACCAAAACAACUAUAGCUACCAGGGUAGCCUCCAGUUAUCAGGGGUCGGGUGUGAUCUGUUGUUACUGAUUUAUACAGUCUGACCAAAUUAUCAAUGAUUUUCCUGCCAGUGGCUCAUCUCAGUGGUGUGCCACAGCUGUGGUCUGCCCUCCUCUAUCAAAAUAAGUGUGGGCCUACUAUCUUUAGCCUUGGAUUCUUUCUUUAGAGACUUACAAAUAUGAACCUUGAAUAAAGAUCUGUGUGUAGAGGACAUGCCAGGUGACCCUGGGGAAUCAUUCCAUAUGGGAGGUUGGACUGUGUUCCUUUCAGGGCAGUUAUGUGAAAUCUUACAGUUGUCAGAAGUGAUGAUUUUGCCCUUGGUGACAUCAGUAGAGCCCUAGGUGACAUUGCAAUGCUUAUCCAUGUCUUUUCAUGGCAUAUGCCUGUCACAUCUGCAAAUUAUUUGGACCAAUUUCUUCAGCAGGAAAUGGUCGGGUCUCUUCAUUAAUAGAGCUCCCUUCGAUUUGUGGUUUCAACCCUGCAGGUUAAAAUUACUGUCUAUUAGUUCCCUUAAAAAGGAUGUUUGGAUUUCACAAGUGUGUGGAUUGAAUAUCCAUUGUUUGCCUUGUGUUGGAGGAACAAAGACAAACAUUACAUGCUUCAAAACAAGCUGCCUUCAAGCCCAGCAUAUUAGUUAACCAACAAACAGCCCCUAAAAUAGUAAUGGUAAUGCGGUAUUUGUUUUCCUUUACCUAGACACUAGCCUGAAUUCCUUACUCUUCCCUCUAUGGCUUCUUCCAUGCUUUUCAUUCAUAUACGGGUUGAAGUGUUGGCACAUAUACUAUGUGUUAUGUUAAAAUGUAAUUUGAGACAAUAGCAACAUGGGCAACAAUGAGAGAGCACAGAUUUUUGUCUCCUUUAAGAAUGGUAUCUCUAAAUUACAUUCUCUUCCCAAACACAGCUUUCAAUAGCUCAUCAUCGGCUCCACAGAAAUCAACCUGCAACAUGACAGCUUUCACCUCAAGUGUCUCAUAAAAAGCCAAAGUCAACUCUGAAGAUCAAGUAUUACCCAUUAGUGGAAUGAAGCCGAAUAACCUCUGACCAGACUGUCACUGGGGAGUUUUGGCCACAUCUGUGAUUCCUGUUAGCACCCACUUUCUUCCUCAAAGGGCCAGGAGGACAGCUUUUGGCUAAAGCAAGGAAGUUGUGUUCAAAGGAUUUACAGAUGAAACGGGCUUCAGAGUCAAAAGGUUCCAUGCAGUGGCGGAUUCUCUUUUAUACAGUACUAAGAAAUGACCUGCCCUUGGCCUUUUAAAGUGUCACUUGCAACCUGUCAAGAUACUGGAGAGGAGUCACAGCAGGUGUCACAUCAGCUGUGACAAAACCCAAACCAUUUUAGAGCCUAGACUGGCAGUUACAUUAGAACCCUGGCAAGGAGCCUUCUCUGAGGGCUCUCUGACCGAACUGGAGAAGCCUAGAAGUGCCCUCAUUGGAAGCUGUUUGUAACAGGAAAACUGGGACUGCUACAUAAAGCUUAGCAUAUAAAAGAAGCCAAUUGGUAGAGUAAGGGUGGAAGCCAUUCUUCACCUGGGCUUCAGGUAGCCAAGAACAUGCUUAAGGAAAGCCUUUCGUAUACUUGGAGGAUGGCAGGUGCUGGGUAAGCAUUCCCUAGAGUCAGGCGCUUCCCGUCUCAGGCUUUUGGAGACCCUUCAAAUCUACAGAAUACUGCUUUUCCCUUGCCUCUCUGUUAAUUCCCUUUGUUGGGACUGCUUUCCUUUGUCAAUAAACUCGUCUCUAUCUUUA